GGGUGGCUUUGGUUUGGGGGGGGAUGUUAUUUUUGGGGUGGCGGCAAAGGAGCUUGAGAGGCGCCUCCACCCAGGGCAGGAAGUGGGGCGGCCCCAGCUGCGUUCUCCCGUUGGCACACCUGGCCCAGCGGGCACUGGCGGCCACCGCACAGGAAGUGUUCCCAACGCCCGCCUGUGUGGUCCCCCAAUCGGAGGCCCGGAGGGGAGGCGGCCAGCAGGGAGGGUGCAGGGGCCCGCUGUUGUGGGCCAGAAUCUUCCAGAAGACGCCCCACUGGGGUAGCGACGGUGCCUCUGGGGCAUGUGGGAUCUUAGCUCCCUGACCAGGGAUGGAACCUGCAGCCCCCGCACUGGAAGGCGAAGUCUUAACCGCUGGGCCGCCAGGGAGGUCCUCUUAAUCUUCACUUUAAAGACGCGGAAACUAAGGCCCAGAGAGCCUGUGUUUUGGACUCCUGGACCCCAGAUGGGGAAACUGAGGCCCAGAGAGGAGAAAUCCCUUGUCCCAAACAGAAGGAAGUAAGGAUAGUAUGGUGGGAAAGAAUCGGAGGCCUCCCCAGGUUCACAGAUGCCCCCUUCCGGCCUGAUGACACCCCAGCUGUGAGGGGCAGUCACCAGCUGGCUUAUGAUCCACCUCUGGGAGUCUUGAAACGCUCUGUCCCACCAUCCAAGAGGAGCAGAGUCCCGAACACUGUUGUGAUACAUUAACAAUCGCUUGUUAUAUCUUUGACAACCACUUGGGGGCUGGAGUGGUGCCGGGGCCCUGAGGAGGACUCUGCUGUGAUAUCCCCACCUUAAUUUCCCCCACACAUGGAACAGAGCUGGACAAAGGCCUUUGUGGUGUAUGAGGUCAGGACCAGAUGGAGGAAGGGUCUGGGACUGGGGAGCCCUUUGGAGGGCAAGAGGCAUGGCUGGAAGGCUUCCUGGAGGAGGCGACAUUGGCUCUGCAGCUUUGAAGAACACAGCCCUUCUGGAUCUAGUUCUGGGGAGGUGAGGAUGGUCCAGACCUGGUCUCCAGAGCCUCAAGGAUGCUCAGGCUGGGGCCAAGGACAUUAUGGCAAGCAAGAUCAUCCCCUUCCUCCCUAAAAUAAAACUUCUUGAAAUUUUGGGAAGCAGGGCAGCGGAAUGACACCGCCUCAGGGUUGGAUCCUUUUGUCCACUGCAAAAGGAAGAUUACAUACCCAAAUCAGCAGGGGUACAUCCCCACCCAGGCCCAGCAGUGACCCCUUCCAGGGAGCCAGGACUGCCACAGAAACUCUUUUGGAGACACCCUGUAAACGUGGCUGAAAGUGAGAGAUCUCUCUCGUGAAAAAAUUUUUUUUAAAGAGAGAAAUAGCAAAUUAAAUCUGUGCAUUCUAUCUGCACCGCCUCCCCUCAAAAAUGUUUGAUCUGAAACAGCAUCUCAGAAUGUUCCGGGAUGCCUUGGGCCCACCAUUCAAGUGUAUAUGCCUCCCGUCUGCAUGGUUUAUGGAGGGCCCGCGGCAGGGGUGAGGCAGGUGCGGGUAUUUUGUCGCCUGAGGGUGCUUGGAGAAAUAUUUCAGAGUCAUUAGCCCAGAAGAAGCACUCUGGCCCAUUCCUUCAUUCCUGACCACCCAGGACCUGGUGGGCCGCAGCAGGUGCUCUGGGGACCCGACGGAGGUUUAAGAUUUUAAGCCGAGGAGUAUGGUGGCCUGAUUUGUGCGCAGUCUUUUAGUUGCUUGGGGAAUCGGAUGACCGGAUAAAAUACAAGACGUUCGGUUAAACUGGCGUAUCAGAUAAACUACGAAUGAUUUUUUAAAGCAUAAGUAGAUACCAACUGUGGUGAGGGACAUACUUAUGCUAAAAAAUUAUUCUUCUGAAAUUCAAGUCUAAUUGGGGGUCCUGGAUUUUUAUUUGCAGGAAGGACAGAACGUGGGGAUCCAGGUCAGGGGUCAGGAGACCCAGGUGCAGGUGACCGCCCUGGUCCAGGGGAUGGAUGGGAGGAAAGCUGGAUGCAGAGGAGGGCAGAGAAAUAGGA